CAUCUCUCUUUCAAGGAGGCAGCGGGGAUUCGACUUCCCCUGGGGGUA
rnacentral:tRNA from 15 species